UACGGAGGGUGCGAGCGUUAAUCGGAAUUACUGGGCGUAAAGCGCGCGUAGGUGGUGGGUUAAGUUGGAUGUGAAAGCCCCGGGCUCAACCUGGGAACUGCAUCCAAAACUGGCCGACUAGAGUACAGUAGAGGGUGGUGGAAUUUCCUGUGUAGCGGUGAAAUGCGUAGAUAUAGGAAGGAACACCAGUGGCGAAGGCGACCACCUGGACUGAUACUGACACUGAGGUGCGAAAGCGUGGGGAGCAAACAGG
rnacentral:misc_RNA from 1 species